GACGAGUCGAGUUGUUUGGGAAUGCAGCUCAAAAUGGGUGGUAAAUUUCAUCUAAAGCUAAAUACCGGCUGGAGACCGAUAGCGCACAAGUAGAGUGAUCGAAAGAUGAAAAGCACUUUGGAAAGAGAGUUAAAAAGCACGUGAAAUUGUUGAAAGGGAAGCGCUUGCGACCAGACCUGCCCGUUGGCGAUCAACCGCCGUUUUCGGUGGUGCACUCGUCAGCGCGCAGGCCAGCAUCGGUUUGGGCGGUCGGACAAAGGCCUUGGGAAUGUAGCUCCCCUCGGGGAGUCUUAUAGCCCUCGGUGCAAUGCGGCCAGCCCGGAUCGAGGACCGCGCUUCGGCUAGGAUGCUGGCGUAAUAGUUGCAAGCGACCCGUCUUGAAACACGGACCAAGGAGUCUAACAUCUAUGCGAGUGUUUGGGUGUCAAACCCAUGCGCGCAAUGAAAGUGAACGGAGGUGAGAACCCGUUAGGGUGCAUCAUCGACCGAUCCUGAUGUCUUCGGAUGGAUUUGAGUACGAGCAUAGCUGUUGGGACCCGAAAGAUGGUGAACUAUGCCUGAAUAGGGUGAAGCCAGAGGAAACUCUGGUGGAGGCUCGCAGCGGUUCUGACGUGCAAAUCGAUCGUCAAAUUUGGGUAUAGGGGCGAAAGACUAAUCGAA
rnacentral:rRNA from 1 species